CCUACGGGUGGCAGCAGUCGGGAAUAUUGCGCAAUGGAGGAAACUCUGAAGCAGUGACGCCGCGUAUAGGAAGAAGUUUUUCGGAAUGUAAACUAUUGUCGUUAGGGAAGAGAAAGUACAGUACCUAAGGCGGAAGCUCCGGCUAACUACGUGCCAGCAGCCGCGGUAAUACGUAGGGAGCGAGCGUUAUCCGGAAUUAUUGGGGUUAAAUGGUUCGUAGACGGGAAAACAAGUUAGGUGUGAAAUCGCUGGGCUUAACUGAGGAACUGCAACUAAAACUAUUGUUCUUGAGUGCAGGAGAGGUAAGUGGAAUUAGUAAUGUAGCGGUGAAAUGCGUAGAUAUUAGGUGGAACACCAGUAGCGAAGGCGACUUACUGGACUGUAACUGACGUUGAGGCACGAAAGUGUGGGGAGCAAACAGGAUUAGAUACCCGGGUAGUC
rnacentral:rRNA from 1 species